UUUCCGUAGGUGAACCUGCGGAAGGAUCAUUACCGAGUGUCGGGCCCUCCUGGGUCCACCCUCCCACCCGUGUCUCCCGGCCCUUGUUGCUUCGGCGGGCCCGCCCACUGGGGCGGCCAGGGGGGCCUCGCGCCCCGAGGUUCGCGCCCGCCGGAGACGACCACGCGAACACUGUGUGACGGUUGCCGUCUGAGUGGAUUUUUCCAAUCGUUAAAACUUUCAACAACGGAUCUCUUGGUUCCG
rnacentral:misc_RNA from 1 species